ensembl:lncRNA
AGGGAGUUCAGUCAUGGGUGGGGACAGCUCAGGCUCAAGUCCUGGAAGAUGAGGCUGUCUUCCCCAAGCAAAGUUCUUGGCAGCCAGGGCCUGGACAGACAAGGAGAUUCAGGGCCCCAGGACAAGUAGGGCCUGUCCUCACCUGUCUUCGAAUCCGUUCUGUCCUCCUUGGUACAGGGGACAGCACAGAUGGGGAAACUGAGGCCCAUGGUCAGGGCAUGUAGGAGCGAGUAAAUGGCAAAGCUGUGAACUGUUGGGACCACCAGAGGUUCUGGUUGUGCCUGCGUCCGUGGGGCUCACGAAGCCAGUGUCAUCCACAAAGAAUGCAUUCUUUCCUGGGUACUGUUCUGUUGCCGUGCAGCAUGCUUUGGUGAGAACUAAUAUGUUAGCAACUGAGCUGGGUGUGGUGGAGCACACCUAUAAUCCCAGCAUUCAAGAGGCUGAGGCAGGAGAAUGGACAUGGAGGCCAGCCUGGGCUACAUACACAGUGAGACUCUGUCUCAAAAAACAAAACAAAAUUUGAAAUGUCAGUGUCUAGAGACAUGGGGUCAUGUCGCCCACAGAGUGACAGGCUGCCAUUGCUGGUGACAACCUGCCAGUCUAGCCACUCUCUUCUGGGACUGACAUGUAGGGCACUGUCCCCUCCUGCUGUCCCUGUGCCCAGUGGGACUCAG